rnacentral:sRNA from 1 species
UUUCCUGCAGACCAUGCCAUGAGAUUGAAGGUUGGACUGCAGUGGUGCGAUCAUGGCUCACAUACAGCCUCGACUUCCCUGGACUCAGGUGUUCCUCGCACCUCAGCCACCAGAGGAGUAGCCAGGACCACAGGUACCUCAUUUUUAAUAGAUUUUUGACUAAUUAUGGCCAAAGACUCUCAAAGAAUACAACACAAUAAACAGCCAAAUAAUUUUAUUCCUAAGUUGUUGGGGUGAUCAGACCCAACACCAGGCCGUGGGGGAUACGAAGUCCCGCGGAAUCAAACGCAUGAGAAAAGACAAGAGAGAAAGUCGGAGCAGGGGCCCAACUAUAGGGAGGCUGGGAAGGCCCUGAGCUCUGGGAGCCCAGGCUAUUUAUUGGUGAUCAAACAAAGAAACAGGUGUUGAGGAUUGUAAGGAAGCAGUGUAUCAAGCGAAUGAGCUACAGCUGUGAUGGUUUAGCAUUUUCUUUGAAA